rnacentral:rRNA from 1 species
CCGCUGGGGUAUUUGCGCAAUGGGCGAAGCCUGAUGCAGCGACGCCGCGUGAGGGAUGACGGCCUUCGGGUUGUAAACCUCUUUCCGUAGGGAAGAAGCGGACGUGACCGUACCUGCAAAACACGCGCCGGUUAGCUACAAGCCACCAGCCGCGCUAAUCA